GAUGAAGAACGCAGCGAAAUGCGAUAAGUAAUGUGAAUUGCAGAAUUCAGUGAAUCAUCGAAUCUUUGAACGCACAUUGCGCCCGUCAGUAUUCUGGCGGGCAUGCCUGUUCGAGCGUCAUUACGCCCCUCAAGUCCCCUGUGGACUUGGUGUUGGGGAUCGGCGAGGCUGGUUUUCCAGCACAGCCGUCCCUUAAAUUAAUUGGCGGUCUCGCCGUGGCCCUCCUCUGCGCAGUAGUAAAACACUCGCAACAGGAGCCCGGCGCGGUCCACUGCCGUAAAACCCCCCAACUUUUUAUAGUUGACCUCGCAUCAGGUAGGACUACCCGCUGAACUUAAGCAUAUCAAUAAGCGGAGGA
rnacentral:misc_RNA from 1 species